rnacentral:rRNA from 1 species
UACAGAGGUCCCGAGCGUUGUUCGGAUUCACUGGGCGUAAAGGGUGCGUAGGUGGCGUGGUAAGUUUGAUGUGAAAGCUCAGGGCUUAACCCUGAAAUGGCAUUGAAUACUACUGUGCUGGAGGUUUGGAGGGGGGACUGGAAUUCUUGGUGUAGCAGUGAAAUGCGUAGAUAUCAAGAGGAACACCAGUGGCGAAGGCGAGUCCCUGGACAACACCUGACACUGAGGCACGAAAAGCUAGGGGAGCAAACAGG